CUUUUGAGCCAGGAUGAGCCAGGAGAAGGAAUUUCACAAGGUAAUGGCUUCAGUUAAAGCAGAAACCGGCCAUUUUCACUUCUUUUGUGAUUCUUCACUUGCUUCGGGCCAUCUCGACAUAUACAUGCAGGUCACAGGGGAUAUGAUAGCUUAGCUUGGGCUCAGAGGCCUGACACUGUUGAUAGUUUAUUUUGCUCUGCAGACGUUCUUUAACUUCAUUAGGCAAUACUUGUCAAUUUUUGUUUUUGCUGCAAUUGCUUUUGGCUACUAAGCCAAAAAUUAUUUGCCAAGGCUGAUAUCGGGAGGGUAUGUCCUAGGUUUCCUUAUAGGACAUUUACAGUUCGAAGUCUUACAUUUACAUCUUUAAUCCAUCAUCAGUUAAUUUUUGUAUAUGGUGAAAUGUAAGGGUCCAGUUUUAUUCUUCUACAUAUGACUAGCCAAUUAUCCCAGCAUGAUUUACUAAAUGGGGAGUCCUUUCCUCAUUGCUUUUGUUGGCCUUGUCGAAGAUCAGAGGAUUAUGGAGUCUUGCUCUGUCGCCCAGCCAGGCUGAAGUGCAGUGGUGCAAUCUUGGCUCACUUCAAACUCCGCCUCCCAGGUUCAAGUGAUUCUCCUGCCUCAGUCUCCUGAGUGGCUGGGACCACAGGUGCACACCACCACGCCCGGCUAAUUUUUUUGUGUUUUUAGUAGAGACAGGGUUUCAUGGUGUUAGCCAGUAUGGUCUCGAGCUCUUGACCUCAUGAUUCGUCUGCCUUGGCCUCCCAAAGUGCUGGGAUUACAGGCAUGAGCCACCAUGUCUGGCCAAACAUUUCAAUACAUUUGGACCUUUUGAGAUUACUGUUGUUCCAAACUCUCACCAAAAGGCUCAAAGAGGGAGGCCUAAAACAAAUGGAUAGUAAGUAGUGGAAUCAGAAUUUGAGACCAUGACUAGUUGAUUACAGAGCCUAUGAAUUCUUAUUACCUUGGCAACUUGCCCUUUCUACUCCCAUGGCCUGGCACUAUAGCUGACUCUGGAAGUUCUCAACUCACCUUUAACAGACAAAUACAUAAACGAACACUAUGCUUCAUGGUAUUGUGUUUUAUACAAAAACAAUGAAGGUAGAUUUCUGUCCUCCAGAGUUUUAUAGUUUACAACACAAAUAACCAUAACACAAAACACUCCACAUAGUGUGAGAGAAGUAAGAAUAAAGUUGAUGUCACGUAAGGUAAAAUGUAACAUAUGUUGUAAGGAAUGAAGAAGCAUCUACAAAGAUGUCAUGGAAGUACUGGAAUAAUCAUUUGCAAAUUAGGUAUGGAAUGCAUUUGAACAGGCAUAUUCCUACAGGGCAUCGCCAACAUGGGAAAUAAGUAGUAAUAUGUCUUGAAAUCUUACUGAGAAAUUUGACUAUUUUGUGAACAUGGUCCUAUAUACACCACUUAGUUUUGGUGAUGUGAUGGGAAUUUAGUGAAACCUUCGUAUGGGUUAUUUUGUAUGAACUGGCCAUGAAGGUGGCUCUUUUCUUACAUUUUAACAUGGAAGAGAGAAGAAGCAUAUGGCAGCCCAGAAAUGCUGGACAUCAGGGACUUUUUGCUUCUGUGAAUACUGUGAGUGUAUCUGGAAUAAAUUACAGUGACUCUAAUAAAAUGAAAUGUUGAAUCACUU
rnacentral:lncRNA from 10 species